rnacentral:lncRNA from 1 species
AUGGCAGCAACGAAGGCUGCUGGUCUAACAACAACCACUCCUACAACGACAACAGCUGCUAAGACUACAACAAUCGCACCAACCACAACCACGGCUGAAACUACGACAGCUGCUCUGACUACAACCACUGCUGCAACAACAACAGCUGGUCCAGCAACAACGGUAGAAACGACGACAGCUGCUCCAACCACAACCACUGCUGCAACAACGACAACGGCAGAAACGACAACUACUGGUCCAACAACAACCACUGCUGCAACAACAACACCUGCUCCGACUACAACCACUUCUGCAACAAUGACAGCUACUCCAACUACAACCACUGCUGCAACAACAACACCUGCUCCGACUGCAACAACGGCAGCAACGACAACAGGUGCUUCAACCACAACCAGUGCUGCAACAACAACACCUUCUCCGACUACAACCACUGCUGCAACAACAACAGCUGGUCCAACAACAACGGUAGCAACGACGACAGCUGCUCCAAACACAGCCACUGCUGCAACAACGACAACUGCUCCAACGACAACACCUGCUCUGACUACAACCACUGCUGCAACUACGACAGCGGCUUCAUCUACAACCACUGCUGCAACAACAACAGCAGCAACAACAACUGCUGCUCCAACAACAACAACCACUGCUGCAACGACAACACCUGCUCCGACUACAACAACGGCAGGAACAAUAACAGGUGCUUCAACCACAACCACUGCUGCAACAACAACACCUUCUCCGACUACAACCACUGCUGCAACAACGACAGCUGCUCCAACUACAACACCUGCUCCAACGACAACACCUGCUCAGACUACAACAACGGCAGCAACGACAACUGCUGGUCCAACAACAACCACUGCUGCAACGACAACACCUGCUCCGACUACAACCACUGCUGCAACAACGCAAGCAGCUCCAACUACAACACCUGCUCCAACAACAACACCUGCUCCGACUACAAAAAUGGCAGCAAUGACAACAGGUACCCUGACUACAACAACGGCAGCAACGACAGCUACUGGUCCGACAACAACCACUGCUGCAACGACAACAGCUGUUCAGACUACAACAAUCGCACCAACCACAACCACUGCUGCAACUACGACAGCUGCUCUGACUACAACCACUGCUGCAACAACGACACCUGCUCCAAUGACAACACCUGCUCCAACGACAACACCUACUCCAACUACAACAACGGCACCAACGACAACUGCUGGUCCAACAACAACCACUGCUGCAACAACAACACCUGCUCCGACUACAACCACUGCUGCAACAACGACAGCUGCUCUAACUACAACCACUGCUGCAACAACCACAGCAGCAACAACAACUGCUGCUCCAAAAACAACAACCACUGCUGCAACUACAACCACUGCUGCAACAAUAACAGCAGCAAAAACAACUGCUGCUCCAACAACAACAACCACUGCUGCAACAACAACAGGUGCGCCGACUACAACGGUAGCAACGACGACAGCUGGUCCAACAACAACCACUGCUGCAACAACAACACCUGCUCCGACUACAACCACUGCUGCAACAACAACAGCAGCAACAACAACUGCUGCUCCAACAACAACAACCACUGCUGCAACGACAACACCUGCUCCGACUACAACCACUGCUGCAACAACAACAGCAGCAACAACAACUGCUGCUCCAACAACAACAACCACUGCUGCAACAACAACACCUUCUCCGACUACAACGACAGCUGCAACAACGACAGCUGCUCCAACUACAACACCUGCUCCAACGACAACACCUGCUCAGACUACAACAAUCGCACCAACCACAACCACUGCUGCAACGACAACACCUUCUCCGACUACAACCACAGCUGCAACAACGACAGCUGCUGGUCCAACAACAACAACUGCUGCAACAACGACAGCUGCUCCAACUACAACCACUGCUGCAAUAACAACAGCAGCAACAACAACUGCUGCACCAACAACAACAACCACUGCUGCAACGACAACACCUGCUCCGACUACAACAACGGCAGCAACGACAACAGGUGCUCCAACCACAACCACUGCUGCAAUGACAACAGGUGCGCAAACUACAACCACGGAAGCAACGACAGCUACUGGUCUAACAACAACCACUCCUGCAACGACAAAAGCUGCUCAGACUACAACAAUCGCACCAACCACAACCACUGCUGCAACGACAACACCUUCUCCGACUACAACAACGGCAGCAACGACAACUGCUGGUCCAACAACAACCACUGCUGCAACAACAACACCUGCUCCGACUACAACCACUGCUGCAACAACAACAGCAGCAAAAACAACAGCUGCUCCAACAACAACAACCACUGCUGCAACGACAACACCUGCUCCGACUACAACCACUGCUGCAACAACAACAGCAGCAACAACAACUGCUGCUCCAACAACAACAACCACUGCUGCAACAACAACACCUUCUCCGACUACAACCACAGCUGCAACAACGAGAGCUGCUCCAACUACAACACCUGCUCCAACGACAACACCUGCCCCGACUACAACAACGGCAGCAACGACAACUGCUGGUCCAACAAAAACCACUGCUGCAACAACAACACCUGCUCCAACUACAACCACUGCUGAAACAACAACAGCAGCAAAUACAACUGCUGCUCCAACAACAACAACCACUGCUGCAACGACAACACCUGCUCCGACUACAACAACGGCAGCAACGACAACUGCUGGUCCAACAACAACAACUGCUGCAACAACGACAGCUGCUCCAACUACAACCACUGCUGCAACAACAACAGCAGCAACAACAACUGCUGCACCAACAACAACAACCACUGCUGCAACGACAACACCUGCUCCGACUACAACAACGGCAGAAACGACAACUGCUGGUCCAACAACAACAACUGCUGCAACAACGACAGCUGCUCCAACUACAACCACUGCUGCAACAACAACAGCAGAAACAACAACUGCUGCACCAACAACAACAACCACUGCUGCAACGACAACACCUGCUCCGACUACAACAACGGCAGCAACGACAACAGGUGCUCCAACCACAACCACUGCUGCAAUGACAACAGGUGCGCCAACUACAACCACGGAAGCAACGACAGCUACUGGUCUAACAACAACCACUCCUGCAACGACAAAAUCUGCUCAGACUACAACAAUCGCACCAACCACAACCACUGCUGCAACGACAACACCUUCUCCGACUACAAUAACGGCAGCAACAACAACUGCUACUCCAAGCAAAACCACUGCUGCAACAAAUGCUAUUCUAACCACAACCACUACUGCAACAACAACACCUGCUCCGACUACAACCACUGCUGCAACAACAACACCUGCUUCUACUACAACCACUGCUGCAACAACAACACCUGCUCCGACUACAACCACUGCUGCAACAACGCAAGCUGCUCCAACUACAAAACCUGCUCCGACUACAACAACGGCAGCAACGACAACUUCUGGUCCAACAAAAACCACUGCUGCAACAACAACACCUGCUCCGACUACAACCACUGCUGCAACAACAACAGCAGCAACAACAACUGCUGCUCCAACAACAACAACCACUGCUGCAACAACAACACCUGCUCCGACUACAACCACUGCUGCAACAACGACAGCUGCUCCAACUACAACACCUGCUCCAAUGACAACAUCUGCUCCGACUACAACAACGGCAGCAACGACAACUGCUGGUCCAACAAAAACCACUGCUGCAACAACAACACCUGCUCCGACUACAACCACUGCUGCAACAACAACAGCAGCAACAACAACUGCUGCUCCAACAACAACAACCACUGCUGCAACAACAACACCUGCUUCGACUACAACAACGGCAGCAACGACAACAGGUGCUCCAAACACAAACACUGCUGCAACGACAACAGGUGCGCCGACUACAACAACGGCAGCAACGACAGCUACUGGUCCAACAACAACCACUCCUGCAACGACAACAGCUUCUCAGACUACAACAAUCGCACCAACCACAACCACUGCUGCAACUACGACAGCUGCUCUGACUACAACCACUGCUGCAACAACAACACCUGCUCCAACAACAACGGUAGCAACGACGAAAACUGCUCCAACCACAACCACUGCUGCAACAACGACACCUGCUCCAACGACAACACCUGAUCCAACGACAACACCUGCUCCCACUACAAUAACGGCAGCAACGACAACUGCUGGUCCAACAACAACCACUGCUGCAACAACAACACCUGCUCUGACUACAAACACUGCUGCAACAACGAAAGCUGCUCCAACUACAACCACUGCUGCAACAACAACAGCAGUAACAACAACUGCUGCUCCAACAAUAACAACCACUGCUGCAACGACAACACCUGCUCCGACUACAACAACGGCAGCAAUGACAACAGGUGCUCCAACCACAACCACUGCUGCAAUGACAACAGGUGCGCCGACUACAACAACGGCAGCAACGACAGCUACUGGUCUAACAACAACCACUCCUGCAACGACAACAGCUGCUCAGACUACAACAAUUGCACCAACGACAACCACUGCUGCAACAACGACAGCUGCUUCAACCACAACCACUGCUGCAACAACAACAGCUGGUCAGACAACAACGGUAGCAACGACGACAGCUGCUUCAACCACAACCACUGCUGCAACAACGACACCUGCUCUAACGACAACACCUGCUCCAACUACAACAACGGCAGCAAGGACAACUGCUGGUCCAACGACAACCACUUUUGCAACGACAACAGCUGCUCUUACCACAACAACGGUAGCAACAGCAACAGCUGCUCCGACUACAACAAUGGCAGUAAUGACAACUGCUGGUCCAACAACAACCACUGCGGCAACAACAACAGCUGCUCCGACUACAACAACGGUAGCAACAACAAGAGCUGCUCCGACUACGACAGCUGCUCUGAUUACAACCACUGCUGCAACAACAAAAGCUGGUCCAACAACAACGGUAGCAACGAUGACAGCUGCUCCAACCACAACCACUGCUGCAACAACGACACCUGCUCUAACGACAACACCUGCUCCAACUACAACAACGGCAGCAAGGACAACUGCUGGUCCAACAACAACCACUCUUGCAACGACAACAGCUGCUCCAACCACAACAAAGGUAGCAACAACAACAGCUGCUCCGACUACAACAACGGCAGUAAUGACAACUGCUGGUCCAAAAACAACCACUCUUGCAACGACAACAGCUGCUCCAUCCACAACCACUGCUGCAACGAAUGCUGCUCCAACCACAACCGCUACUGCAACAACUACAGCUUCUCCAAGUACAACAACGGCAGUAUCGGCUACUGCUGCUACAACCACAACCACUGCUGCGACAAAUGCUGCUGUAGCCACAACCGCUACUGCAAAAACUACAGCUUCUUCAACUACAACCACUGCUGCAACAACGACAGCUGCUCCAACUACAACCACUGCUGCAACAACAACAGCUGGUCAAACAACAACCGUAGCAACGACAACAGCUGCUCUAACCAGAACCACUGCUGCAACGACAACACCUUCUCCGACUAAAACAAUGGCACCAACCACUACCAUUGCUGCAACUACAACACCUGCUCUGACUACAUCCACUGCUGCAACAACAACAGGUGCUCAAUCUACAACCAAUGCUGCAACAACAGCUGAUCCGAUUACAACAAAGGCAGCAACGACAACAGCUGCUCCAACAACAACCACUCUUGGAACGACAACAGCUGCUCCGACUAAAACAACGGCAGCAACGACAACAGGUGCUCCAACAACAACCACUCCUGCAACGACAACAGCUGCUCCGACCACAACAACGGUAGCAACAACAACAGCUGCUCAGACUACAACAAUGGCACCAACCACUACCACUGCUGCAACAACGACAGCUGGUCAAACAGCAACGGUAGCAACAACAACAGCUGCUCCAACCACAACCACUGCUGCAACGACAACACCUCCUCCGACUACAACAAUGUCACCAACCACUACCAUUGCUGCAACUACAACAUCUGCUCUGACCACAUCCACUGCUGCAACAACGACAGCUGCUCCAUCUACAACCACUGCUGCAACAACAGCAGCAACGACCACUGCUGGUCCAACAACAACCACUCCUGCAACGACAACAGCUAAUCAAACCAGAACCACUGCUGCAACGACAAGAGGUGCUCCAACCACAACCACUCCUGCAACGACAACAGCUGCUCAAGCCACAACAACUGCUGCAACGACAACUGCUGUUCCAACAACAACGGUUGCAACGACAACAGGUGCUCCAACCACAACCACUGCUACAACGACAACAGCUGCUCUGACUACAACAACAGCAGCAACGACAACUGCUGGUCCAACAAUAACGGUAGCAACGACAACAGGUUCUCCAACCACAACCACUGCUACAACGACAACGGCUGCUCCGACUACAACAACGGCAGCAACGACAACUGCUGGUCCAACAACAACCACUCCUGCAACGACAACAGCUGCUCCAACCACAACCACUCUUGGAACCACAACAGCUGCUCUGACUAAAACAACGGCAGCAAUGACAACAGGUGCUCCAACCACAACCACUGCUACAACGACAACAGCUGCUCUGACUACAAUAACGGCAGCAACGACAACUGCUGGUCCAACAACAACCACUCCUGCAACGACAACAGCUGCUCCGACCACAACAACGGUAGCAACGACAACAGCUGCUCAGACUACAACAAUGGCACCAACCACUACCACUGCUGCACCAACUACAGCUGCUCCAACCACAACCACUGCUGCAAUGACAACACGUGCUGAGAAUACAACAACGGCAACAACCACUACCACUGCUGCAACAACGACAACUGCUCCAAGCACAACCACUUCUGCAACGAAUGCUGCUGUAACCACAAGUGCUACUGCAACAACGACAGCUGCUCCUACAACAACAACGGCAGCAACAUCAACAGAUGCUCCAACCACAACCACUGCUGCUAAGACAACACCUGCUCCAACUACAACAACGGCAGCCACAACAACUGCUGCUACAACCACAACCACUGCUGCAACAACGACAGCUGCUCCAACGACAACCACUGCUGAAAAGACAACACCUGCUCCGACUACAACAACGGCAGCAACGACAACUGCUGGUCCAAAAACAACCACUCCUGCAACGACAACAGCUGCUCCAACCACAACCACUGCUGCAACGACAACACCUGCUCCGACUACAACAAUGGCACCAACCACUACAACUGCUGCAACUACAACACCUGCUCUGAGGACAUCCACUGCUGCAACAACAGCUGCUCAGAUUACAACAAAGGCAGCAACGACAACAGCUGCUCCAUCUACAACCACUGCUGCAACAACAGCUGCUCAGAUUACAACAACGGCAGCAACGACAACACCUUCUCCGACUACAACAACGGUAGCAACGACAACUGCUGGUCCAACAACAACCGCUGCUGAAACGACAACACCUUCUCCGACUACAACAACGGCAGCAACGACAUCUGCUGGGUCAACAACAACCACUCUUGGAACCACAACAGCUGCUCUGACUAAAACAACGGCAGCAAUGACAACAGGUGCUCCAACCACAACCACUGCUACAACGACAACAGCUGCUCCGACUACAAUAACGGCAGCAACGACAACUGCUGGUCCAACAACAACCACUCCUGCAACGACAACAGCUGCUCCGACCACAACAACGGUAGCAACGACAACAGCUGCUCCAUCUACAACCACUGCUGCAACAACAGCUGCUCAGAUUACAACAACGGCAGCAACGACAACACCUUCUCCCACUACAACAACGGUAGCAACGACAACUGCUGGUCCAACAACAACCGCUGCUGAAACGACAACACCUUCUCCGACUACAACAACGGCAGCAACGACAUCUGCUGGGUCAACCACAACCACUCUUGGAACCACAACAGCUGCUCUGACUAAAACAACGGCAGCAAUGACAACAGGUGCUCCAACCACAACCACUGCUACAACGACAACACCUGCUCUCCUGCCCUUUACAACACAACGGUAG